GAGGUCGUAAGGGUGGGACCCUAAUCCAAUUGGACUGGCAUCCUCUGGUGUCCAUACAAGAAGAGGCAGAGAUGCCAGGGGCACAAGUGCACAGAAAAGAGACCAUGAGAAGACACAGCGAGAAGGUGACCAUCUGCAAGCCAAGGAAAGAAGCCAAACCUGCCAACACCUUGACCUUGGACUUCUAGCCUCCAGAACUGUGAAAGAUAAACUUCUGUUGUUUAAGUCACCCAGUCUGUGGUAUCUUGUUAUGGCAGACUGCUAUGGCUUAAUUUUUUGUCCUGCAGAAACUCAUGCUGGAAUUUAACUGCUAAUAUAAAGGUAUUGAAGGUGGCGGAGCCUUCGAGAGGCAUGUCCUUCUGCACUCUUGAAUGAAUUGAUGCCGUUCUCCUGAGACCAGCCACGAGUUGAAGGAGCAUGAGGCCCUCACCUGACCUGUGACUUCUCAGCUUUCAGAACUGUGAGCCUAAAUAAACCUCUUUUCUUUCCAA